rnacentral:rRNA from 1 species
GACGAACGCUGGCGGCGUGCUUAACACAUGCAAGUCGAACGAAGUGGCGAACGGGUGGGUAACGCGUAAUCAACCUGCCCUGCAGAGGGGGACAACAGUUGGAAAAGACUGCUAAUACCGCAUACCGCAGGUGGGGAUUGCGUCUGAUUAGCUAGUUGGAGGGGUAACGGCCAACUAAGGCGAGGAUCAGGAGUCGGUCUGAGAGGAUGAACGGCCACAUUGGGACUGAGACACGGCCCAUACGUCUACGGGAGGCAGCAGGUGGGAAUCUGCCGCAAGGGACGAAAGUCUGACGGAGCAACGCCGCGUGAGUGAGGACGGCCUUCGGGUUGUAAAGCUCUGUUAUUCGGGACGCGGUACCGGAAUAGAAAGCCACGGCUAACUACGUGCCAGCCGCCGCGGUAAUUC